GCCGAGGGCGGCAAGCUGGCGGCGCGCGCGCGCCUCAAGCCGCACCCCUACCUGCCGGCCGAGGCGCUGGACUGUGAUAUAGCGCGCGCGCUGCCGCCCGCCGCCCACUACGAGCGCUUCGACAAGCGCGCGCUGCAGCAGCUGCCGAUCUACAUGUAGCCGGGGCCGGUCUCUGUGAUGUUUUGUCGUGAUUAGUUAGUGAUAAGUGCCGCGCGGAGCGACCGCGCCGGGCCCGGGCCCGCCGCCGCCGUGCCGCGCACGAACCGAAUACCAAAUAAUACCUAUGUGCGUUGAUAUUGUUUGAACGUUGAUUGUGUUUCCGUGCCGGACGAUAGCGCGACCGACGCCGGCGCACGCUCGCCAACGAGAGUAUUUAUUGCGAUCGCCGUAACCGAUGCUUCAUAUAAAUUAUUGUACCGUCGCUGAUUCGUUGCGUAUUUCUGUAUAAGAUAUCAUAUCGAUAAUAAUUAUAUGUUCAAAAAUUGUAUUAUAUAAAUAUGUACCUAUAGAGUAAAGAAAAAAAAAAUGAAAGUGAGAAAAAUAUUACGAAUAAAACUAGUAAUAGUUAUGUUUUCGAAUAGGUGAUGAGUUCUAGAACAGUCCUGAGUGCUAAACUAGAAUCGUACUCUACUCUCAUUUUGUAAGCAGUUAUGUUUGUUAAAAUUAUAUAUAAAGAGUCCUCUGAUGAAUAGUCUGAUUAACGAAUAUUCGGCAUGUAAAAGUCUUUAUAAAACGCUUACUUAGCAUAUCAUAGUAUUAUAUUGUGUCAUAGUCCAAUGCCAAAAAUAUAACUAUCUUUUUACAAAAAUCCCUAAAGCAUCGUUUUAUUUCCCUCCGUACGUACGUUCCAAGUGAUCCGGUGGUCCGGUGAGGUGGCGGCUCCGAUUCUACCAGUGCGUGCUGUGGAAUGUGUUAGAUCUGUUAAGAGUUGCGAGGCGCAGCCUCCCAGUGCUUGUUGUGUGCUCGGAAAGUAUCUGAACGACUCGGAUGUUGGAUUACACUAACUGAGAAUGCGAGGCGACCCCCACGUCACGAUCGACAGCAUUCUUCGCUGAACAAUACAUUGUCAACGAGUAACAAUAGAUGGAACAAUCGCGAGCUGCGUCGUCGCGACGAUUGUUCGGGUGUGCUUCAAUGAGAUUCGCUAAAAGUACACAUUCAUUGUAUUUUAUCAAUAAAAAAUUAAAUCG